rnacentral:rRNA from 1 species
AGUCGACGGGGAUGGUACAUGCGAGGGAGUAGUUUACUAUGACCAGACAUGUGCCAUCCUAGUGGCGGACGGGUGAGUAACGCGUGGGCAACCUGCCCUGUACAGGGGGAUAACACUUAGAAAUAGGUGCUAAUACCGCAUGAGCGCACAAAGGCGCAUGCCUAUGUGCGGGAAGCCCGCGAGGGCGGUACGGGAUGGGCCCGCGUCUGAUUAGCCAGUUGGCAGGGUAACGGCCUACCAAAGCGACGAUCAGUAGCCGGCCUGAGAGGGUGGACGGCCACAUUGGGACUGAGACACGGCCCAAACUCCUACGGGAGGCAGCAGUGGGGGAUAUUGCACAAUGGGGGAAACCCUGAUGCAGCGACGCCGCGUGAGUGAAGGAGCGUUUCGGCGCGUAAAGCUCUAUCAGCAGGGAAGACAAACUGCCCCGGAAGGGGCAGCCGGACGGUACCUGACCAAGAAGCCCCGGCUAACUACGUGCCAGCAGCCGCGGUAAUACGUAGGGGGCAAGCGUUAUCCGGAUUUACUGGGUGUAAAGGGAGCGUAGACGGCGAGACAAGCCUGGAGUGAAAGGCGGGGGCCCAACCCCCGGACUGCUCUGGGAACUGUCUGGCUGGAGUGCAGGAGGGGUAAGUGGAAUUCCUAGUGUAGCGGUGAAAUGCGUAGAUAUUAGGAGGAACACCAGUGGCGAAGGCGGCUUACUGGACUGUAACUGACGUUGAGGCUCGAAAGCGUGNGGAGCAAACAGGAUUAGANACCCUGGUAGUCCACGCC